ACUGAAUAGAUACCCGGGUAGUCCUGGCCGUAAACGAUGUCCACUAGAUCGUGGUGGCUCUGACGCCAUCACGGUCGAAAGCAAAAGUGCUAAGUGGACCGCCUGGGAAGUACGGUCGCAAGGCUAAAACUCAAAGGAAUUGACGGGGGCUCACACAAGCGGUGGAGCAUGUGGUUCAAUUCGAAGCAACGCGCAGAACCUUACCUGGGCUUGACAUGCUAGGAUUAUCCCUAUGAAAGUAGGGUAGGCCCUUGGGUACGAACUAGUACAGGUGCUGCAUGGCUGUCGUCAGCUCGUGUCGUGAGAUGUCGGUUAAGUCCUUAACGAGCGAACC
rnacentral:rRNA from 1 species